UCAAUACUCCCUCCGCCGGGAAUUACUUGUCACAAAAAAUGAUAAAAGUAGAUGUAUUUAGAACUAAAAUACAUCUUACUUCUAGAUACAUUCAUUUCUUCGACAAGUAAUUUCGGACGGAGGGAGUACAUA
rfam:Triticum aestivum genome assembly, contig: Triticum_aestivum_CS42_TGACv1_scaffold_147072_2BS